GAUGAACGCUGGCGGCGUGCUUAACACAUGCAAGUCGAACGGAAAGGCCCAAGCUUGCUUGGGUGCUCGAGUGGCGAACGGGUGAGUAACACGUGGGUGAUCUGCCCUGCACUUUGGGAUAAGCCUGGGAAACUGGGUCUAAUACCGGAUAGGACCAUCGUUUAGUGUCGGUGGUGGAAAGUUUUUCGGUGUGGGAUGAGCUCGCGGCCUAUCAGCUUGUUGGUGGGGUAAUGGCCUACCAAGGCGUCGACGGGUAGCCGGCCUGAGAGGGUGUACGGCCACAUUGGGACUGAGAUACGGCCCAGACUCCUACGGGAGGCAGCAGUGGGGAAGAUUGCACAAUGGGCGCAAGCCUGAUGCAGCGACGCCGCGUGGGGGAUGACGGCCUUCGGGUUGUAAACUCCUUUCGCCAAGGACGAAGCGUUUUGUGACGGUACUUGGAGAAGAAGCACCGGCUAACUACGUG
rnacentral:rRNA from 1 species